rnacentral:rRNA from 1 species
CGGCGUGCCUAACACAUGCAAGUCGAACGGGGUCAGUUGCUUCGGUGAUUGACUUAGUGGCGAACGGGUGAGUAACGCGUGAGGAACCUGCCUUUCAGUGGGGGACAACAGUUGGAAACGACUGCUAAUACCGCAUAAUGCAGCUAGACCGCAUGGUCUUGCUGCCAAAGCUUUAUGUGCUGAAAGAUGGCCUCGCGUCUGAUUAGCUAGUUGGUGGGGUAACGGCUCACCAAGGCGACGAUCAGUAGCCGGUCUGAGAGGAUGAACGGCCACAUUGGGACUGAGAUACGGCCCAGACUCCUACGGGAGGCAGCAGUAGGGAAUUUUCGGCAAUGGGGGGAACCCUGACCGAGCAACGCCGCGUGAGUGAUGACGGCCUUCGGGUUGUAAAGCUCUGUUAAUCGGGACGAAUGUGUUGAGUGUACCUUUCGAAUAAGCACCGGCUAACUACGUGCCAGCAGCCGCGGUAAUACGUAGGGUGCAAGCGUUAUCCGGAAUUAUUGGGCGUAAAGCGCGCGCAGGCGGAUCAGUCAGUCUGUCUUAAAAAGUUCGGGGCUUAACCCCGUGAUGGGAUGGAAACUGCUGAUCUAGAGUAUCGGAGAGGAAAGUGGAAUUCCUAGUGUAGCGGUGAAAUGCGUAGAUAUAUGGAGGAACACCAGUGGCGAAGGCGACGAUCUGGCCUGUAACUGACGCUCAGUCCCGAAAGCGUGGGGAGCAAAUAGGAUUAGAUACCCUAGUAGUCCACGCCGUAAACGAUGAGUACUAAGUGUUGGAAGUCAAAUUUCAGUGCUGCAGUUAACGCAGUAAGUACUCCGCCUGAGUAGUACGUUCGCAAGAAUGAAACUCAAAGGAAUUGACGGGGGCCCGCACAAGCGGUGGAGUAUGUGGUUUAAUUCGACGCAACGCGAAGAACCUUACCAGGUCUUGACAUACUCAUAAAUGUUCCAGAGAUGGAAAGAUAGCUAUAUGAGAUACAGGUGGUGCAUGGUUGUCGUCAGCUCGUGUCGGGAGAUGUUGGGUUAAGUCCCGCAACGAGCGCAACCCCUGUUGCCAGUUGCCAGCAUUAGGUUGGGGACUCUGGCGAGACUGCCUCUGCAAGGAGGAGGAAGGCGGGGAUGACGUCAAAUCAUCAUGCCCCUUAUGACCUGGGCUACACACGUGCUACAAUGGACGGAUCAGAGGGAAGCGAAAUCGCGAGAUGGAGCGAAACCCAGAAACCCGUUCUCAGUUCGGACUGCAGUCUGCAACUCGACUGCACGAAGCUGGAAUCGCUAGUAAUCGCGAAUCAGAAUGCCGCGGUGAAUACGUUCUCGGGCCUU